UUGGAUCCAGACUUUGAUUAUGGCUCAGGACGAACGCUGGCGGCGUGCCUAACACAUGCAAGUCGAGCGGGGACAGGGAAGAGCUUGCUCAGAACUGUUCUAGCGGCGGACGGGUGAGUAACGCGUGAGCAACCUGCCUUUCACAGGGGGAUAACGCAUCGAAAGAUGUGCUAAUACCGCGUAAGACCACAGCACCGCAUGGUGCAGGGGUCAAAGGAGCAAUCCGGUGAAAGAUGGGCUCGCGUCCGAUUAGCUAGUUGGUGAGAUAACAGCCCACCAAGGCGACGAUCGGUAGCCGACCUGAGAGGGUGAUCGGCCACAUUGGAACUGAGAUACGGUCCAGACUCCUACGGGAGGCAGCAGUGGGGAAUAUUGGGCAAUGGGCGAAAGCCUGACCCAGCAACGCCGCGUGAGGGAAGAAGGGUUUCGGCUCGUAAACCUCUGUCCUAUGGGACGAAGGAAGUGACGGUACCAUAGGAGGAAGCCCCGGCUAACUACGUGCCAGCAGCCGCGGUAAUACGUAGGGGGCGAGCGUUGUCCGGAAUGAUUGGGCGUAAAGGGCGCGUAGGCGGCCUGCUAAGUCUGGAGUGAAAGUCCUGCUUUCAAGGUGGGAAUUGCUUUGGAUACUGGUGGGCUGGAGUGCAGGAGAGGAAAGCGGAAUUACCGGUGUAGCGGUGAAAUGCGUAGAGAUCGGUAGGAACACCAGUGGCGAAGGCGGCUUUCUGGACUGAAACUGACGCUGAGGCGCGAAAGCGUGGGGAGCAAACAGGAUUAGAUACCCUGGUAGUCCACGCGGUAAACGAUGAAUGCUAGGUGUAGGAGGUAUCGACCCCUUCUGUGCCGCAGUUAACACAAUAAGCAUUCCGCCUGGGGAGUACGGCCGCAAGGUUGCAACUCAAAUGAAUUGACGGA
rnacentral:rRNA from 1 species